rnacentral:misc_RNA from 1 species
GAUGAAGAACGUAGCGAAAUGCGAUAAGUAGUGUGAAUUGCAGAAUUCAGUGAAUCAUCGAAUCUUUGAACGCACAUUGCGCCCGCCAGUAUUCUGGCGGGCAUGCCUGUUCGAGCGUCAUUACAACCCUCAGGCCCCCGGGCCUGGCGUUGGGGAUCGGCGGAGCCCCCCGUGGGCACACGCCGUCCCCCAAAUACAGUGGCGGUCCCGCCGCAGCUUCCAUCGCGUAGUAGCUAACACCUCGCGACUGGAGAGCGGCGCGGCCACGCCGUAAAACACCCAACUCUUCUGAAGUUGACCUCGAAUCAGGUAGGAAUACCCGCUGAACUUAAGCAUAUCAAAAGCGGAGGA